rnacentral:lncRNA from 10 species
UUAAAAAAUAGCCGGGUGCAGUGGCUCACGCCUGUAAUCCCAGCACUUUGGGAGGCUGAGGCAGACGGGGCGGAUCACCUGAGGUCAGGAGAAACCCCCUCUCUACUAAAAAUACAAAAAAUUACCCAGGUGCUGCGGCGUGUGCCUGUAAUCCCAGCUACUCGGGAGGCUGAGGUAGGAGAAUCGCUUGAACCCGGGAAGUGGAGGCUGCAGUGAGCCGAGAUGGCGCCACUGCACUGCAGCCUGGGCUACAGAGCAAGACUCCGUCCGUCUCAAUAAAUAAUUAAUUAAUUAAUUAAAAUAUAAAAAUAAAAUUUAAAAAAUAGUACUCGCUGACAAGUGAAUUUGGGAGGAAUAAGCAAGACCUCACUCGUGGUAACGGGCGCGGGGUGGGGGAAGUCGGGGGGUGGCACACAGCGCUCAGUUAAGUCACGCCAUUAUGAUCACGACCACCGCCCGCGGCCGCAGAACCUGCCCGCUCUGCACACCAGGGCGGACACCCACAGACGCGUCCUUCACCCGCGCAGGGACCUGCCAGGGGCGCUUAUACCGGAGGGUGUUCAGAGCAGGAAAGGAAGAGAUCAAAUCUGAACCCGGAUCCGUCUCCUACAGAACCUGAGUCGCUCAAUCAUCAGCUAGAUCGCCCCGUGUAGACAAAGCAAGUGGAAUUAUUUGAAGAGUAUACCUUGAGCUGGGCAAUCCUCAUAGAAGGUCGGGGACGACCUGCCCUUCAGUGUUCCUGGAGCAUCUUCUCCAAAGUGGAGGUCGAGCCAGGCCUAGGAGGAAAGAGAGGGCAACUGCGGACGACCCCACCGCAGAAGAGGUGAAACCGACGGGCUCCAGGGCUUUUUCACUCAUUCCCUAGGCAUGUGGGACCUCGAAGAUGCCGAAUCAGCUAAACGGGAGGUGGCUUGAGUAGGAUUUGCUGCCAGCUAAAGCGUGAGAUGCUAUUGCAUGUGCAAGGCAAGGCUUUCUUCAGCGGCAUCAUCUUCCAAAAUAGCCCAGGUAUAUCUCACCAGAAUUAAACCGGGCUGCAGGUGGCCUUUCCUCAUACUUGACCAAUGACGUGAUUAAUUUAGAUCUGUUCGGAAGUAUUUAUUUAAAUCCAUUCUCUCCCUGAGUAGGUGUGAACUUUCCUCUUCCUACUAUUUCUUUGAAAUAUUUCCACCUUACAUGAAUGAGCCAUUGCACUGGAGCAAGUUUUCUUCCAGAACAUAAAAUAGAUCAUAUGUAUUCACACAAAUGUAAAAACGAUGUGCAAUUUGAGCUUUCCCUCAAAGAAAAUAACAGUGAUUCUGGUUUUAAUUCCUGGUAUUAAAUGUUGCAAGAUUGGUAAUUUGAUAUCCAGUGUGAGAAUCUAACAUGGGGUGCCUCUCUUCUUUGUCUAUCUCUAUUCUAUUUCUUUUUCUUUUUUCUUUCUUUUUUUUUUUUUUUGAGAUGGAAUCUUGCCCUUGUUGCCCAGGCUGGAGUGCAAUGGUGCAAUCUCGGCUCACUACCACCUCUGCCUCCCAGAUUCAAACGGUUCUCCUGCCUCAACCUCCUGAGUAGCUGGGAUUACAGGCGCCCGCCACCACGCCCCGCUAAUUUUUGUAUUUUUAGUAAAGACAAGGUUUUGCCAUGUUGGCCAGGUUGGUCUCAAACUCCUGACCUCAAGUGAUCCACCUGUCUCAGCCUCCCAAAGUGCUGGGAUUACAGGCGUUGAGCCACUGCGCCUGGCCCUCUAUUCUGUUUCAAUCCAACUAUAUGUCUGGUUUGAGGAAAUAGCCAGGGACCCACGCUGUGAUUAGCCCAACAACCCAAGCAGGGCUGACUCCUGAAGCCAGAGUAGUAACAAUCAGUUCUGGCCUGGCUGGUCACGGUGGCUCACGCCUGUAGUCCCAGCACUUUGGGCGACUGAGGAGGUGGGGGGGGGGGGCAGAUCACUUGAGGUCAGGAGUUCGAGACCAGCCAGGCCAACAUGGCAAAACCCCAUCUCUACUAAAGACACACAAGAAAUUGGCAGGGUGUUGUGCUACACGCCUGUAAUCCCAGCUACUCAGGAGGUUGAGGCAGAAGAAUCGCUUGAAUCCAGGAGGCAGAGGUUGCAGUGAGCCGAGAUCUGGCCACUGCACUCCAGCGUGGGUGACAGAGUGAGACUCCAUCUCAAAAUAAAUAAAUAAAUAAAUAAAUAGGCAGGGCAUGGUGGCUCAUGCCUAUACUCCCAGCACUUUGGGAGGCCAAGGCAGGCGGAUCACGAGGUCAGGAGAUCGAGACCAUCCUGGCUAACGCGGUGAAACCCGGUCUAUACUAAAAAUAAUAAGAUUAGCUGGGCAUAGUGGCAGGCGCCUGUAGUCCCAGCUACUCGGGAGGCUGAGACAGGAAAAUGGCGUGAACCCGGGAGGCGGAACUUGCAGUGAGCCGAGAUCGCACCACUGCACUCCAGCCUGGGUGACAGAGCCACACUCCGUCUCAAAAAAUAAAUAAAUAAAUAAAUAAUCAGUCCUGACCUAAUACAACAGACAUGAAUGGCAAAAAGUUUGAUUGUGCAAUUUUCUCCAUAAGAGGACCUGAGGCAGGUCGUAUGCUUGCUGUCUAGAAAAUAAUUUCAAUGUAUUUUGGAUUCAUCCAUACUAAGCAGUUUUUGCUUUGUUAACUGUUUCACCUUAUGAGAUUUUUAUUUUGAGAACAACGUGUGGUGAACGUUGGGAUGUUUUUUUCUUCCUCCUCUUUUUUUUCCCUUCUGCUUUAAAAAUAAGAUAAGCUUGCAUGCAAAUAGAGUUCAGGGUGACCACAGUAACAUUCUCAGCUUUAUUUACUGAAUUACGGAGUCUCCCUUCACUUGAUUAAGUUCCAUUUGCAUAUCUUUAACAUGAGAAACACUUUAUUCCACUUUAUUCCAUUAAUGAGUCAUUUGAGACAUCUUCAGAGUUUAUAGCAAUGCUGAAAGAAUGGAUGUCUUCUGUAUGAAAACUUAGGGGUUGUUUUAUGUGCAGAGAAAGAGAGAGACAAAUAGAGGUUUUUUAAAAAAAAAAAUUCUAAAACUGAAAUGUGCUCAAAUGAAUUAAAGAUAUUUGAAAUAUAUUUAUGUAUGUAUUUCUAGCUAAAGAAAUAUAUAGUAUAACAUUCUCAUUCUAUGAAGAAAUAGGCUAUUUCCUUUUGUGCUACAUAUAAUUAGUUUUCUUUUUUUUUUUUUUUUUUUUUGAGAUGGAGUCUUGCUCUGUCACCCAGGCUGCAGUGCAGUGGUGCGAUGUCGGCUCACUGCAAGCUCCGCCUCCCAGGUUCACGCCAUUCUCCUGCCUCAGCCUCCCGAGUAGCUGGGACUACAGGUGCUCACCACCUCGCCUGGCUAAUUUUUUGUAUUUUUAGUA